AAAGGAUGUGGAGUUGCGUAGACAACCAGGAGGUUGGCUUGGAAGCAGCCAUCCUUGAAAGAGUGCGUAAUAGCUCACUGGUCAAGUGAUUCCGCGCCGACAAUGUAGCGGGGCUCAAGUACACCGCCGAAACCGUGGCAUUCAGUUUUGCUGGAUGGGUAGGGGAGCGUCGUUCACGAGGUGAAGCCAGCGGGUAACUUCUGGUGGAUUGUGGACGAGUGAGAAUGCAGGCAUGAGUAGCGAAAGACGGGUGAGAAACCCGUCCGCCGGAUGACUAAGGGUUCCAGGGUCAAGCUAAUCUGCCCUGGGUAAGUCGGGACCUAAGGCGAGGCCGACAGGCGUAGUCGAUGGACAACGGGUUGAUAUUCCCGUACCGGCGAA
rnacentral:rRNA from 14 species